GCGUCUAGCGUCGGACGCCGGAUAAAUGCUUGUGAUUCUGCGGUUUGUUUUUUGUUGGCUUUGGAGAGGAUAUGGACUGAAAAAAAAUGCACAACCUGGAAGUUGAGAAUUAUGUUUUAUUCAGCGCACUUGCUGAGGACUUGAGCCCGGGAGACAGCCUCUCAUAUCUCCGACGGACUGUUCUGAAGAGUCAGAUGACCAAGGCAAGGAAAUGGAAUAGGACCAGGGUGCCAGGUGAAGACUUCAUCUCAAGAACAAUGAAGCUUCCUUAGUCUUAAACAGAAAAAGACAUCCUGAGGAGUUUCUCUGACAGAUUCGAUAAAAUGCCUCUCACCUCAUCAUGGAUCAAAGUGAUUUUCAUCAUCUUGGCCGUUACUCUUUAUUCUGGUAGAAUGUGAUCCAUACAGUGGUGUGAAAACAUGCACAAAAGAAUAUCAUCCAGUCUUUGCAACCAAUGGCCACACUUAUUGCAAUAAAUGGUUUUUUUU